GUUAGUCUAAGAAAGCACCACAUAUCGGUAACAGAUUCACUACUACAUUUAGAAAAUAUAUUUUGCACAAAACUAAAAGACUAAAUUCACCAUAUUAAUAAAAAAUUUAAUAAUGACAAUAUGCAUAGCUGCUCACUUGCACAUUGCCGCAUAUCUUAAUAAUGGCUGCCACCUCUAUCAUUUCUCUGCUCAAUCCUCUCCGUAUU